rnacentral:siRNA from 1 species
ACUGUUGUCCAUAGUUAGUUACUC